GCCCGGAUAGCUCAGUCGGUAGAGCAUCAGACUUUUAAUCUGAGGGUCCAGGGUUUACAUCCAGGGUACCAGUCACUGUUUGGGCG